UACAGAGGGUGCGAGCGUUGUUCGGAAUUAUUGGGCGUAAAGCGCGUGUAGGCGGUAACGUAAGUCGGGUGUGAAAGCCCUCAGCUCAACUGAGGAAGUGCGCCCGAAACUACGGAGCUUGAGUGCUGGAGAGGGUGGCGGAAUUCCCGGUGUAGAGGUGAAAUUCGUAGAUAUCGGGAGGAACACCAGAGGCGAAGGCGGCCACCUGGACAGACACUGACGCUGAGACGCGAAAGCGUGGGUAGCAAACAGGAUUAGAUACCCUGGUAGUCCACGCCGUAAACGAUGAGAACUAGCUGUGGGGGGAGUUGACCCCUCCCGUGGCGAAGCUAACGCAUUAAGUUCUCCGCCUGGGGAGUAUGGUCGCAAGACUAAA
rnacentral:rRNA from 1 species